GAAAUCACUUUCUUUCUCCCUUGGCUACCUACGGCCGAACACCACAAGCCACCCAUCACCAUCAUUCAAUUUCAAUUUUGCAAUUCUAUAUACAUUCAAGUGUGAAGGAUCACGUACAAGGAGGCUUGGUGCUUACGGUUUGCCAAAGACCUCACCACAACGCUAUUAACCACCCAUUUUUCGUCUAGUUUCUUCCCUAGCCUUGUGCUAGUUUUUGAUAUUUGAAGAUGGUAACUAGGAUGGAUGUGCGCGUGGUCUCACUUAUGCUCGUGGAUGUCGCUUGUGUUUGUCUUUAA
rnacentral:lncRNA from 1 species